AUGUCAGGCCAGGGUGCGCUCACUCGCUCCCUGGCAGUUUCUCCUUUCUAGGAGCAGGGGCACCGAGGUGCCCUGAGACAAUAUGCCUCUGCGUACAUUGAUGAUGUGAUUGAUUGUUUUUUCAGAGACCUGGGGCCAACACUUGGAGGCCUUGUGGAGUGUCCUCCAAAAGCUAUGCAGAGCAGGGCUAACCACAAACCCUGCUAAGUUUAGACUGACCCAGCAGGAGACCCAAUACCUGGGAUUCUAGGUUGGGCAAGGCCAGAUACACCCUUUAGAGGAUAAAGUCAGGGCCUUGAUCUGAUACAAAAGACCACGAACAAAGAGACAAGUCUGAGCUUUUUUGGACUGGCCAGUUAUUACCAAAGUUCAUCCCAUAGUUUUCUGAAAUGGCAGCUGUCCUCAUGGAUUUGAUGCAAGGCCAGUGAUCAAGCAAAGUCCAAUAGAUGGCAGUAGGCCAGGAAGCAUUUGAAUAAGUCAAGUGGCCAUUAUAGCAGGACCCAAUGAUAUAUACCCCAGACUUUGAUAAAUGAUUUGUUUUACAGACCGAUGCCUCCAGAAUCACCACAGGGGCCAUCCUAACACGAAGGGAAGUACCUGGGAAAUGACCUGUGGUGUAUGCAAACUGCAAGUUGCUCCCCCACAAACAUCAGUACUUGACGAUUGAAUGGGAAUGUUGAGCCAUCUGGUGGGCAGUGGAAUUAUUCCAAUAUUAUUUACUAGAUUGACCUUUUACCCUCAUAACCAGUCACACCCCGCUUAGAUAGCUACAGUCUGCCAAGAUGGAUAAUGCCCGAAUCACGUGGUGGACACUAGCACUAGAGCUGUUUUGUUUUACAGUCCAACAUCAACCAGCAAGAAGAACAUGAUGGUAGACUUUCUCUAUCACUGGCAUGAGAUCAAGCCAAUGCCUAGCCCUGGAGCAAGCACCGAGUCUGUGCCAACAUGCAGCCUGACCACCAAGCACAAGGGAGGAGCUAUGUGGCAGGCCCUGAUCUCUGCAGCACAGGUGGCCAGGCCGCAUCCACCAAAGUUGCUGCUCUGCAGCUGGAUGAGCCGGGCCCCGAUUGGGGCGUGGCACAGUGGCUGAGCUAAAAGGCAGCCCAGGGCCCAGGAAGGCAGCAGGACACUCCGGGCAUCAGAAAUGGGGCCAGAUGCCACCCCCACCAAAGGGGUGUCCCAGAGCCAGUAGGAACCACUAAAUAACACUGCACAGGUACAGAUAUCAUCCCAAAGUUGUGCUGUGCAAGUAGGCUCAGGGCCAGUCCACUCCCUAGGUGGUACGGUGUGGGCCUGCCACAUUCACCCUUUCUCAAAUUUUAAAUCAGCAGCACAAGACUCGAUGAGGCCCAUUAGAAUUCUUUCAUUUUCAGGACAGAUACAUCCUGAGGUCAGUUUGUUUUCAACUUUUUUUGUUUUGUUUUUAAUAGGAUGCUGGGAACAGGAGUGGUACUGGAGAAUGGAAAGGUGUCUACAGUGAUAGUGAGACAAUGAAUUGUUUGGGUUUAUUUAGUACAGGAAAGGACCUAAUUCCAAACCUCACCUCCAAAGUUUUUGAAGCAGGUUACAGAUAUGGUCUUUGGGGGUCUCAGUCUGUGUCUAAUGUAGUGGCUUUUGGCAAUAGAUGUUUAAUAACAUAUUGAGAUGGAUAAAGACUGAUUCACAAAGAUAUGGGUAAUUUUAGCAUCAUGUGGAGUAGGCUCAUCACUGCAAGAAAGCUAGAAAUGCUACCAAUUCUAGUAAGAACUGUACUGAUAGACAGGUGGUUGAGGGGAUGGCGCUUUUUCUGAAAGCAGGCCAGGAUACUUCCAGCGGAAGACAAUUCACGCAAGGACCAAAGCAGAAAUAGUAUAGCAAGCUGUCAAUAUCAUCACCAUGUUGAACAAAGUAAAAUAGAGAGCAAAUUGUAUGUUCCUCUUCAUUGUUGUCAAGCAAAAUUCUGUAGCCAACCAGAUGGAUGCAGUUUGCAUUGACAAGGGCAUUCUCUCUUUCUAAAAAAGUUGCAUGUUCAUCUACCCAUCUGCUUGGUAUCCAUGCAACUGUGAAAUGGAGCAGCCUUUGCAUAUUUAUAUGCUUCAGCAGCCUACAGCAGUAUCAGAAAGAAUUACAUGAUCCCUGAGAAGUUUCUGUCCACUUAAACACUCCACUGACCUUCAACAGAACAAAAUUAGAUAGAGAAUAUUAUAGCGUAUGGUAUAAUCAACAGCACAGCUUGACUGAUUCGGCUAAAAGGUAUUCAAUGUUAACAGAAAUUAAAACUGCACAUUUGCUCUGUUACCGCUUUCAUUAACUGUUUUCUGAGAACACUGAUGUGAAACAUUUACAUUCAGUUGCAGGAUAGUUCACAGGAAUUCAACAAAUUAAGGUGGCUUUGUGGCAAGGAGCUGGACUGCGACUCAGGAACUCUUAGCUCUGCUAACAGACUAUAUGAUCUUGAGCAAAUAAUUGUCAUAGGCAUGAACAGAAUUAGGCAUCUGACUUCCAGUUUCCUAUAGGCUCUGAAGUGAAGUUCAAGGUCUCCAGCAUUAUUUGCAAGACACUUGAUGCUGAGCAUGGCUAAAAGAUUGGCUAAAGGCCCAGGAUGGGCACCAGCGUUAAUAAUGCCACUCUACGAGCACAAUGGAAUAGGCUACCACAACGGUGAAGUCAUCUGUACAGGAGACAGAGAUUUCUUAGCAACAGGUCUGAGAACAGAGUGAAGGAGCUCCCCAGGAAUAUUAACAAAUGUCACUACCUCCUGCUUCAAGGAUAAAUUACAGAUUAUUCAUGAAUUGGAUAAUAGAAUCAAACGGUGUUCCUCUGAAGCAUAACAUCACACCAUCAGUUCUGUCAACCUUUUUAAAAGACAGAUUUAAAAUUAAAAGCAAGAUCCAGGACAAUGCACUUGGAGCACAGUGGAUAUUUGUCCAAAACAGUGAUUUUGAAGAGAUGGACAAAGUGCAGGAUAAGUGACUUCUUUCUGAACAUGUACUGAGAAUAUCCUAGCAAGUGGACUGCUACCAUGCACUAAAACAUUGGCAUUUGACAAAUAAAUUUUGUGCUACCAAUUUUAAAGAUAGUGGAUGACUGCAUUGUUCUUUUUCUUUUCAAAGGGGUGUGGCGUAGAGAGGCUGAUUUGCCUGUGGACACCUCUGCUUCAUGGUGGGUGAAUGAACUGCAAAGUAUCAUGAGAGAGUGUUCAAUAAAUGACAUCUAUAAUGCAGAUGAGACAAGUCCUUUGGGUAUCAGAUAGUAGAAACCAACUUGGGCAUAAAAGGUGAUCACUGUCACGGUGAGGGAAAAAAGGUGGAGUUUGAUGUUUCUCCUGGAGUGGCACUCAAAGAUGACAUAAGUGUGGAUAAUGAUAUUCUGGUGAUAUCACAGGUAUCUGACAAUUUCAUCGUGGAUGACAUUAUAGUUGCAAAACCAUAUGAUGUGGAACAAGGAGGAAGAGGAGGAGAAGAAACAGACUAUACUGAAGCAUCUGUGUAUUCCCGUUCUGAUGUUCCCAGCGUGGUUAACAUGACCAUUAUUACUCAGAGACAUCCCUGACAUGACAAUGUUGGGGAGUGGUUCUUACUCAAAAAGACACACAUUGUGUUCACUUUAGGGACAUCAGCAUGCUAUCCUACACCACCGACACAGCAUUUUUGGGCCGUCUUCCUUCAAAAUAGACAAACUUCAGUUUAGCAAAAUUUCACCAUAAUGAACUACACUUGCAAGUCCACUACAGGUGAUUGUACCAACAUUUCACUGUAUUUUUUUUUCUCCCAUUAGCUAUGGCUGCAUAUGAUGUUGGGAUGUUAUGCAAUUGUGAAAGGGAGUGUAGUCAUGCACACAAUUCACAUUUGUAGGCAAUCUCUUUGUUACAGUGGGGUUUCUUCACUUCAGUGGAAAAAGGUAGCAAAACCUUCUGGGAGCCAAAAAAAGAAGGAAAAAAAAGAGAGAGAGAGAGAUUUAAGACUGUGUCAUUCAAAGUUUAGUCCUGAGAGUUUUUUUCCAACAGCUUUUGCUUGGAGUGUGCUGAAAACAUUUGGAAUUAGUUGAAACUUUGACCAAAAUAAAAGAGGAAGGGUUAUUGGUGAAGGCUUUCUUUAAUUGCUCUCCUGUAUUCCCCACCAAUUUUACUUGUGCCAAAGUAGGGAAAUGAAACCUUUUUUUUUUUUUGUUAGACACCAUAUGUCUCCCAGUGAAGGAACCAGUCUGGUCUGCUGGUUUGUCUUUUAUCUUGUGCCAGAUUUCAGAGUCUAUGACUCCUUUCCAACUUUGCAGCACCUGAUUGGAUACAAGGAGAAGAAACAUGAGGGAUAAAUAUGAUCAACCUCCAAGCAGGAUGUUAGGUGACAUUUGUGUUGUUGGGAAGCACCUGAAAUGUGGAUCCAGCCUAUCCACUAGACUAUCCAUCCUAUACCCUGUGAACAAUUUAUCCAUUGAUUAGAGGUGUUUGGAUGCUUUGCACUGAAUUUAUUUACUGGCAGUUAUCCCAGGGAAGCAGGCAUGCCAUUUAUCAGGUGCCAGUUAGCAAAUUCUGCUACAGUUGCCAAUAAAUUGCACAGACAUUGCUGUUAUAAAAAGGACAGCUAUAUAUAUUUUAUACACAGUGUGUGUGUGUGUGUGUACACGUACAUACAUGCUCAUAUAUAUGUAUAUGCAUAUGCAUACAUACAGAUAUUCAUAGAUUCAUAGAUGUUAGGGUCGGAAGGGACCUCAAUAGAUCAUCGAGUCUGACCCCCUGCAUAGGCAGGAAAGAGUGCUGGGUCUAGAUGACCCCAGCCAGAUACUCAUCCAACCUCCUCUUGAAGACCCCCAGGGUAGGGAAGAGCACCACCUCCCUUGGGAGCCCGUUCCAGACCUUGGCCACUCGAACUGUGAAGAAGUUCUUCCUAAUGUCCAAUCUAAAUCUGCUGUCUGCUAGCUUGUGGCCAUUAUUUCUUGUAACCCCCGGGGGUGCCUUGAUGAAUAAAUCCUCACCAAUUCCCUUCUUUGCCCCCGUGAUGAACUUAUAGGCAGCCACAAGGUCGCCUCUCAACCUUCUCUUGCGGUAUAGAUAUCUAUAUUUGUGUGUGUGCAUGCAUGUGUAUAUAGUAUAAUCCUUGAUAGUCUUAUAUAUAUACUUAUGUAGCAUUUCACCAAACCAAUGUAAAAUACUUAAAAACCAGUGUCUGAACUGGGAUUUUGAAGCACUGACAUGACAGUCCUGAUUAUCAAGCUGAGAGCAAGUUAAAGCCAUUCCCUAAUGUAGUUUAACUUUGCAGGUAUCUAAACAGAAGCUCUGAGCUAUUAUAAUAUUUUCAAACAUACCCAUCCAUCUCUGCAGUCCCUGGUACCACCAUCCGUCCCUGGAAUGACAGCUGCUCUCUAUUCCAUUUGCUUUCCCCCAGUGUCAUAUGUUGGAUUGAUAUGGAUAUAUAUAUUCCACAGGGGUUGGUUGUUUGCCCCUUCCUGCUGUGAAUGAAAGCACCAAUGCUGUUUAUGCACUUUUCUGACCUAAUCUUCCUUUCUACCAGCUUGGUAUUCCUGUUCAGCCAUCAAUGUUAGUGUCACUAAAUGCUGUCUAGCCUGUCCAUCAUAAUAAAGACAUUCAAGACAUCCAUUAUGAUAUGAUUCAUUUAAACAAUCUGCAUUCAUUAUUAUUCUUCCCCUACUUCAGAAUAAUGCAUGCCUGAUUUGUAAGGUUCUUGUUUUUCUUCAGCUUGUUUUGUGAUCGUUAUGCCUUCUGCUACAUCUAUUGUCUGCUUCAUAAUCCUUCUGAGGAGGCCAUUCCACUGCCCCUCUUCAUAUCUUCCUACUGUACCAUUCAUCCUGGAAAACAGUUCUCAGGGAUUGAUUUGCAAUCAGUUGCUGCUGUUCUCUCAGCUUCUGAAAGUCUCCUUUGGAAUAUAGAUUGUCCCUCUGUCAGGCUGUUAAGGGUAAACCCAUUAAUCUUGCUCUUUUUCUAACUCCUUAUUCUACUUCCAUUGAGGAAAGGGUUUUUGCAUCUUCAGAAAAUGGGGGGCAGACUGAUUAUUCAGGCUUAUGCUUUGUUUAGCAUCAGACUAAGCUAAAUGCAUUUACUGAAUAUUCUCACCCUUAGAAAGCCGCAGGAUGUCCCUCCAAUACAUGCAUGCUUUUUUCAAUAUUCUUAUGCCUCAUAGCAUACACCAUGCAUUUUUCUCAGGCUAAAUGAUAGUUACCUUAAGAAGGUACACAUUGGGGUAAGAAGACAUCAUCCCUAAGGAGAUAUACAGUGAGUUAUGGCAAUCAUGUAGGAAGCAGGCAUAUUUAAAGUGUAGUGCUCUAAGAACAUCAUUGUGGGUACUGAGUCUUGCUGACUGCAGUGCUCCAGCACCCAGCAGGGACUUCUGAGGCAGGCAGACCAACUUCUAUGCACCCCCCAUGGCUCCAAAUGACACACUAGAAUGAAUCUGAAGGAAAGGAGAAAAUACCAUUCUGCAGUACACUCCCUUUAGUACCACUGAGACCUGCUCCUCCACUGCCCAAGCAUGAUGAUUCCUUGGCCUUUUGCUCAUUCCAGGAUCCUCUUUCUACUAGCUGGAGUAGAUCCUGUUCACAAUUCCAUUGCUAAGCAUUAAUGGUGCACAAAGAGCAAGCAUGUGUGGUUUGCAAGUGGUUAUGGAAGACACUUUGAAAACCUCUGAAUGAUGUCUUGAUUAAAUAGUGUGAUAUAUUUGAAGGUCAAUGCAUUCUGCUGUGCUCAGAGUUUAAAUAGAUGCCAAUAUUGAUUUCUGACCU